AUAGCUUCGAUUCGAGUACUCAUACGCGUAAUUCCGACAUCGGGAAGGGGUUCAACCAGACUGACAAAGUUGUCCCAGUGAGUGAACACGUUUUUGACGCGUUUUGAACGCGUUUUUGACUGGGUAAACGCGUUUUUACUAUUUAAACGCGUUUUUACUAUUUAAACACGUUUUUAUGGUUAUUUAAGAGUGUUUUGGGGCUGAGAGAAGUUCCUAAGUUGAACCGGAGGUCAGAGCACGAAGGUUUUGAAGCAGAGAGACUUUGGAGUUCUGUUUUGAGUCGGGGGAACGUUCGCAAAGAGUUUUUGGAAGAUUAGCUGAGGAGAAAACCAAGUUGCUGAUAUGCCGGUGGAGCAAGCUUUAGAUGGAGGAUCGACGGAAGCUUAGUUUUAAGAAUGAGCCUUAUAAUUUUAGUCUAUGUUUUAAGUGUGAACUGUAUUUUAGUUUGAAAAUUUGAGUGAGGGUUGUAUAAUAAUGAGGAAAACUGUUAUUCCUCCUCCUAUCAACUGUUCUAUUGUAUCAAUGAUGUAAGAACUCUAUUAUAGUUUAAUGCUAUAAUAAUUGGGAUGUUA